AAAGAACAAAACUGGAGAGAAUCACAUUACCUGACUUCAAAUUGUACUACAGACUGGCAGAGGUGCUCCAGCCUCUGCUCAGUCCGCAGUCAGUGCCACAGUGCCUGGCCUCCCACACACCCUGCAGGUAGUGCCCGUGCCCUCAGCCCAGAGUGCACUGGUGCUGGCGCCAGCUCCCAGAAAGAGUGCGCCACACAGAGAUGACAGCUGAGGAGAUGAAGGAGACCUAGAGCUGGGAGCAAUUGGUGCCUCUGCCCAUGGAGGGAGUGGACAUUAGCCCCAAACAGGAGGAAGGCAUGCUGAAAGUCAUCGAGAGAGGGCACAGGUACAGAGAUGCCCAUGAUUGGGACCGAGUCUUUGUCCACUACACUGGCUGGCUGUUAGAUGGCACAAACUUUGACCCCAGUCUGGAUCACUCCUUUGACUUGGGAAAAGGGAGAUCAUCAAGGCUUGGGAUAUUGCUAUAGCAGCCAUGAAAGUGGGGGAGGUGUGCCAUAUCACCUGCAAACCAGAAUAUGCCUAUGGUGCAGCAGGCAGUCCUCCAAAGGUCUCCCCAUUGCCACGCUUGUGUUUGAGGUGGAGUUGUUUCAGUUUAAGGGAGAAGAUCUGAUGGAAGAGGAAUAUGGUGGAAUCACCUAGAGAACACAGACUCGUGGUGAAGGCUAUCCAGGCCCAGUGAGGGUGCUAUCAUGGAGGUUGCACUGGAAGGGUGCUACAAGGACCAGCCCUUUGAACAUCAGGAGCUCCGCUUUGAGGCAGGCAAGGGGGAGAACCUGGAUUUGCCUUAUGGUCUGAGGAGGGCCAUUCAGUGCAUGUAGAAAGGAGAACAUCCCAUUGUGUACCUCAAACCCAGCUAUGCUUUUGGCAGUGUUGGGAAGGAAAAGUUCCAAAUCCCACAAAAUGCCUAACUAAUAUGAAUUACACCUCAAGAGUUUUGAAAAGACCAAGGAGUCUUGGUAGAUGAAUUCAGAAGAGAAGCUGGAACAGAGCACCACGGUGAAAGAGCGGGACACUGUGUACUUCAAGUAAGGCAAAUACAAGCAACCUUUUCUAUUGUCUAAGAAGAUUGUGUCCUGGCUGAAAUAUGAGUCUAGCUUUUCCAGUGAGGAAGCAUAGAAGGCAAAAGCCCUUCAACUGGCCUCUCACCUCAACCUAGCCAUAUGUCAUCUGAAACUACAGGUCUUCUCUAUUGCCACUGAAAGCUGUAACAAGGCCCUAGAACUGGACAGCAACAACGAGAAGGGCCUCUUCUGUUGGGGAGAGGACCACCUGGUUGUGAAUGACUUUGAACUGGCAUGGGCUGACUUCUGAAAGGUCCUGCAGCUCUACCCAAACAAUGAAGCCACUAAGACCCAGUUGGCUGUGUGCCAGCAGCAGAUCUGCAGGAAGCUUGCCUGGGAGAAGCAGCUCUAUGCCAACAUGUUUGAGAGGCUGGCUGAGGAAGAGAACAAGGUCAAGCCAGAGGCUUCCUCAGGAGACAAUCCCACUGACACAGAGAAGAAGGAGGAGCAGAAGAGCAACACCACAGAGAGCCAAUCUCAAGUGGAGACAGAAGCAUAGCCCCUCUCCACCAGCUCUACUCCUGUGGCUGCCUGCCUCCCUGUCUCCCUACUCUGUCCUGUGAGUUUUGUAAAACCUGAGGAAUUCUGAGCAAAUUAGACCUUUACUUUUCUAUCUGAUUGGAUGGUGGCUUUAGGGUGAAGGGGGAAAGGAGUAAGCUGGGAGACUGAGGUGGGGAAUCAUUUUAGGUGGUGUCACCCCCUCUUCCCUUCCCCCAUUGCACAUGAACAUAUGUCCAUCCAUACAUGCUCAUUAGAAUGUUAAUUUAUUGUGAUCCCUCUGUUUGUUAGUUCCAUUUUCAAAGGGUAGAAGAGGCAAAUGGUAGGGAUGGGGUCUGACAUGAACCCAGGGUGGAGAGGGAGACUCCUGGGCAGCCAUUUUCCCCAUCCUUUCCCUCUCCCAGUCCAUUUCCCUCUCCCAGUCCAUUUCCAAAUGUGGCCUCCGUGUGGGUGCUAGGUACAUGGGAAGAAACACCAUUUCUUCUCUGUUCCCUUCCUCACUCCAAAUGGCAUGGCUGAUGAUGUCUUCUGGUGUCAUGGUGACCACCCCCUGUCCCCUGUUCUGGUAUUUCCCCUGUCAGUUUUCCCUCUCAGCAAGGUUGUGUCCCCAGACCCCUCAGCCUCUUCUUUGCAUGUUGCUGAAGGUCCAGGCUUGCCUCAAGUUCCAUGCUAGAGCAAUAAAGUGGAAACAUUAAAAACAAAACAAACAAACAAAAAAAUUAUACUACAGACCUAUAGUAAUCAAAACA